GAUGAACGCUGGCGGCGUGCCUAACACAUGCAAGUCGAACGGACAGACCCUGCUCUUGUUGGUUUCUCGAGUGGCGAACGCGUGAGUAACACGCGUGUAUCCUGCCCUUGUCUUAGGGGUAUCUUCAGGAAACUCCGGCUAAUACCGGAUAUGAGCUCCUGCUGCAUGUUGGUGGUUGGAAAGUUUCGGCUGUUGUGGAUGGACUCGCGGCUUAUCAGCUUGUUGGUGGGGUAGUGGCUUACCAAGGCUUUGACGGGUAGCCUGCCUGAGAGGGGGACCGGCCACAAUGGGACUGAGGGACGGCCCAGAAUGCAACGGGAGGCAACAGGGGGGAAUAUUGCACAAUGGGCGGGAGCCUGAUGCAGAAACGUCGCGAGCGGGAUGACGGCCUUCGGGUUGUAAACCGAUUUGGACUGUGACGAAGAGGGAGUGACGGUAAUGGGUAAAGAAGCAACGGCUAACUACGUG
rnacentral:rRNA from 1 species